AUUGAACGCUGGCGGCAUGCUUUACACAUGCAAGUCGAACGGCAGCGCGGGCUUCGGCCUGGCGGCGAGUGGCGAACGGGUGAGUAAUUCAUCGGAACGUGCCCAGUCGUGGGGGAUAGCCCGGCGAAAGCCGGAUUAAUCCCGCAUACGACCUGAGGGUGAAAGCGGGGGAUCGAAAGACCUCGCGCCAUUGGAGCGGCCCAUGUGGGUAUAGCUAGUUGGUGGGGCAAAGGCUUACCAAGGCGACGAACCGGAGCUGGUCUGAGAGGACGACCAGCCACACUGGGACUGAGACACGGCCCAGACUCCUACGGGAGGCAGCAGUGGGGAAUUUUGGACAAUGGGGGCAACCCUGAUCCAGCCAUGCCGCGUGCGGGAAGAAGGCCUUCGGGUUGUAAACCGCUUUUGUUCGGGAAGAAAUCCUCUGGGCUAAUACCCCGGGGGGAUGACGGUACCGGAAGAAUAAGCACCGGCUAACUACGUG
rnacentral:rRNA from 1 species